rnacentral:piRNA from 1 species
UGGUAAUCUGUGCUAAAACUGAAAGGUCC